UACGUAGGGGGCAAGCGUUGUCCGGAUUUAUUGGGCGUAAAGAGCGUGUAGGCGGCUAGGUAGGUCCGUUGUGAAAACUCGAGGCUCAACCUCGAGACGUCGAUGGAAACCAUCUAGCUAGAGUCCGGAAGAGGAGAGUGGAAUUCCUGGUGUAGCGGUGAAAUGCGCAGAUAUCAGGAAGAACACCCGUGGCGAAGGCGGCUCUCUGGACCAGCACUGACACUGAGGCACGGAAAGCGUGGGGAGCAAACAGGAUUAGA
rnacentral:rRNA from 1 species